rnacentral:rRNA from 1 species
UACGUAGGGUGCGAGCGUUGUCCGGAAUUACUGGGCGUAAAGAGCUCGUAGGUGGUUUGUCGCGUUGUUCGUGAAAACUCACAGCUUAACUGUGGGCGUGCGGGCGAUACGGGCAGACUGGAGUACUGCAGGGGAGACUGGAAUUCCUGGUGUAGCGGUGGAAUGCGCAGAUAUCAGGAGGAACACCGGUGGCGAAGGCGGUGGUCUGGGCCGGAACUGACGCUGAGGAGCGAAAGCGUGGGGAGCGAACAGG